GUAAAAGUCGUAACCAAGGUUUCCGUAGGUGAACCUGCGGAAGGAUCAUUACCUAGAGUUUGUAGACUUCGGUCUGCUACCUCUUACCCAUGUCUUUUGAGUACCUUCGUUUCCUCGGCGGGUCCGCCCGCCGAUUGGACGACAUUCAAACCCUUUGCAGUUGCAAUCAGCGUCUGGAAAAACAUAAUAGUUACAACUUUCAACAACGGAUCUCUUGGUUCUGGCAUCGAUGAAGAACGCAGCGAAAUGCGAUAAGUAGUGUGAAUUGCAGAAUUCAGUGAAUCAUCGAAUCUUUGAACGCACAUUGCGCCCCUUGGUAUUCCAUGGGGCAUGCCUGUUCGAGCGUCAUUUGUACCUUCAAGCUCUGCUUGGUGUUGGGUGUUUGUCUCGCCUCUGCGUGUAGACUCGCCUUAAAACAAUUGGCAGCCGGCGUAUUGAUUUCGGAGCGCAGUACAUCUCGCGCUUUGCACUCAUAACGACGACGUCCAAAAGUACAUUUUUACACUCUUGACCUCGGAUCAGGUAGGGAUACCC
rnacentral:rRNA from 1 species